UGGAUUUUCGUCGGGGGUGAUCCCUAUCAAGGUAUGUGAGUUCUUUGUGUGGGUUGAUCCUUUCCCCCACACACCAAGCUCAUUUUUAUGAUUUGAGAAAAGAUUGGAUUUGUUGUUGAAGUUGUUGGAAUUGUUGAAGUUGUUAGUUGUUGUUGAAAUUAUUGUUGGUAUUGUUGUUGAUUGUGAUGUUGAGAUUCUUGUUGAUUUGGGACUUGUUUCCAGUUGUGUUUUUGAGUUGAAUCUAUGGUAUAUUGAGG
rnacentral:lncRNA from 1 species